AGAGUUUGAUCAUGGCUCAGGAUCAACGCUGGCGGCGUGCCUAAAACAUGCAAGUCGGACGGCCACCUUCGGGUGGCAGUGGCGGACGGCUGAGUAAGACGUGGGUGACCUGCCAUCUGGUGGGGGAUAACCCCUCGAAAGGGGGGCUAAGACCGCAUGAGGUCCUCGGCUCGAGUCGGGGAGGAAAGCCGCAAGGCGCCAGGUGAGGGGCCCGCGGCCGAUUAGCUAGCUGGUGGGGUAAUGGCCUACCAGGGCAGUGAUCGGUAGCUGGUCUGAGAGGAUGGCCAGCCAGGCUGGGACUGAGAGACGGCCCAGACUCCUGCGGGAGGCAGCAGUUAGGAAUUUUGGGCAAUGGGCGCAAGCCUGACCCAGCAACGCCGCGUGGGCGACGAAGCCCUUCGGGGUGUAAAGCCCUUUUCCACGGGACGAAUCUGACGGUACCGUGGGAAUAAGCCCCGGCUAACUACGUGCCAGCCGCCGCGGUAAUUC
rnacentral:rRNA from 1 species